rnacentral:rRNA from 1 species
AUUGAACGCUGGCGGCAGGCCUAACACAUGCAAGUCGAACGGUAACAGGAAGAAGCUUGCUUCUUUGCUGACGAGUGGCGGACGGGUGAGUAAUGUUUGGGAAACUGCCUGAUGGAGGGGGAUAACUACUGGAAACGGUAGCUAAUACCGCAUAACGUCGCAAGACCAAAGAGGGGGACCUUCGGGCCUCUUGCCAUCGGAUGUGCCCAGAUGGGAUUAGCUAGUAGGUGGGGUAACGGCUCACCUAGGCGACGAUCCCUAGCUGGUCUGAGAGGAUGACCAGCCACACUGGAACUGAGACACGGUCCAGACUCCUACGGGAGGCAGCAGUGGGGAAUAUUGCACAAUGGGCGCAAGCCUGAUGCAGCCAUGCCGCGUGUAUGAAGAAGGCCUUCGGGUUGUAAAGUACUUUCAGCGGGGAGGAAGGGAGUAAAGUUAAUACCUUUGCUCAUUGACGUUACCCGCAGAAGAAGCACCGGCUAACUCCGUG